AGAGUUUGAUCCUGGCUCAGGACGAACGCUGGCGGCGUGCCUAAUACAUGCAAGUCGAGCGGAGUUGAUGGAAAGCUUGCUUUCCUGAGACUUAGCGGCGGACGGGUGAGUAACACGUAGGCAACCUGCCCUCAAGACUGGGAUAACUACCGGAAACGGUAGCUAAUACCGGAUAACUCGUUUUCCUGCAUGGGAGAACGAUAAAAGACGGAGCAAUCUGUUACUUGAGGAUGGGCCUGCGGCGCAUUAGCUAGUUGGUGGGGUAACGGCCUACCAAGGCGACGAUGCGUAGCCGACCUGAGAGGGUGAUCGGCCACACUGGGACUGAGACACGGCCCAGACUCCUACGGGAGGCAGCAGUAGGGAAUCUUCCGCAAUGGGCGAAAGCCUGACGGAGCAACGCCGCGUGUGUGAUGAAGGUUUUCGGAUCGUAAAGCUCUGUUGCCAGGGAAGAACGUCCUCAAGAGUAACUGCUUGGGGAGUGACGGUACCUGAGAAGAAAGCCCCGGCUAACUACGUGCCAGCAGCCGCGGUAAUACGUAGGGGGCAAGCGUUGUCCGGAAUUAUUGGGCGUAAAGCGCGCGCAGGCGGCCAUUUAAGUCUGGUGUUUAAGCCCGGGGCUCAACCCCGGAUCGCACGGGAAACUGGAUGGCUUGAGUGCAGAAGAGGAGAGUGGAAUUCCACGUGUAGCGGUGAAAUGCGUAGAGAUGUGGAGGAACACCAGUGGCGAAGGCGACUCUCUGGGCUGUAACU
rnacentral:rRNA from 1 species